CCCUUUGAAAUCGCGGCGCGAAGUGUCUAUAUCUGGAAGUGCCGGGCAACCGGCUAUGACAAUAAACUGGCGAUGCAAUAAACCAUUCGGACCCGGGGGCGGUACCCGGCGCCUCCACCAUAAACGGUUCCGCCGAACCGCUUGUGAUGGGGGCGAAACAGGAUCGACGAGGGUGUAAAGAUCGUUCUUUUGUCCGGUAUGAUACCACCGUUAUCGGGUCAAUUCAGUAGUUGCAAACGACAACUAUGCAGAGGCACGUCUCGCUGCCUAAUGGCGGUGCGACAGCUUCAAAUUAAGUCCUAGGGGUUUGCCCCUCUAGGCGGGGUUCGGAGGCACCUGGCAACAGAAGCCUUCACU
rnacentral:tmRNA from 1 species